UGGCACGGGAGGAGAGCCACCGCUGUGCUGUGGAGGCGGCCAGCACAGCACGGGCACCGCCCCAGUUAAAACGGGGGCAGAGAGCGGGUGACGGCCGUGCCACUCGUGUUGACCCACCCCCACCCCACCCCACCCCCGCCCCUGCCCCCGCACCCCACGUCAAAACCAAGGCGGCGGCAGCGGGGCGGGAGAGCGGGGAGCACCGACCGACACCGGCCGACAGGGCGGGCUGCAUGCGGAGCUGAGGCGAGGCGGGGAGAGAUCCGGCGCGGGUGCCACCGCCGGCCGGCCGCGGGAGAUCUGGUUGGUGGCGCCGCCCGGAUAAGGGAGCGGCCGCGGAGGCGGCGAGGGGAGAGCAGCCGAAGCGAGAGGAGAUCUCUCUCGUCCCUCUUCUCGCUCCAUGGAGACCGGGGGUAGCAAGCGGGAAGGGGACUGCCCCGGGCAGGAAAGGAAGAAGAAAGUGCGCAGGAGAAGCACCGGUCCUGAUUCGGUUGCUGAAACCAUCAAGAAGUGGAAGGAGGAAAACCAGAAGCUCCAGCAAGAGAAUGGAUCCCGGAAAGCACCGGCCAAGGGUUCCAAGAAAGGGUGCAUGGCAGGGAAAGGAGGUCCAGAGAAUUCAAACUGCGCUUACCGCGGUGUGAGGCAGAGGACGUGGGGGAAAUGGGUUGCUGAGAUCCGUGAGCCCAACCGUGGCAAUCGGCUGUGGCUUGGUUCAUUCCCUACUGCAGUCGAAGCUGCACGUGCAUAUGAUGAUGCGGCAAGGGCAAUGUAUGGCGCCAAAGCACGUGUCAACUUCUCAGAGCAGUCCCCGGAUGCCAACUCUGGUUGCACGCUGGCACCUCCAUUGCUGACGUCUAAUGGGGCAACCGCUGCAUCACAUCCUUCUGAUGGGAAGGAUGAAUCGGAGUCUCCUCCUUCUCUUAUCUCAAAUGGGCCGACAGCUGCGCUGCGUCGGUCUGAUGCUAAGGAUGAGUCUGAGUCUGCAGGGACCGUGGCACGUAAGGUGAAGAAAGAAGUGAGCAAUGAUUUGAGAAGUACCCAUGAGGAGCACAAGACCCUGGAAGUAUCCCAACCAAAAGGGAAGGCUUUACAUAAAGAAGCGAACGAACUCGGGAUAGUGCUUAGGGUUGGCAUUAAAUUGAGGCAUAUUAGGAAGUCAUAUUUCUGCAGGUCUUACUAUAUAUUGAAUUGCUGUAGAAAGGUGCAGCCACACAGACUUACUGAUUUGUGCCCACAAAACAGACUGGCUGAAAGCAGCCUUGCAGUGGAAGACAGAGGUCAAUCCAUUGGCCAUACAAGACGAAGUGGUUCAUCAUCGUUAAGAAGUGAGCCAUUUCCAACUAUUUAUUCCGAACAGCACAAGAGCAUGCCUGGAGAUGGCGGACCCAUUAGCAUUCAGAAAGAAGGUCCAGCUUCGAGACAAUUAAAGGUUAAGCAAUGCCCAGUUCAGAAACUUCAGAGACUGCCAGAUGGGUGCCAUCCUGAUUUUGACAAUGACCAUUUAUAUUGUGUCAACAAGCUCCUGGAGUGAGGGCAGUCCUGGUCUAAAUCUCAUGGCUCUGUUCUUGUUGAUGAUAAGGAACAUAUAUUAAAGACCAUCUUAUUCACAAUGGUUGUGUUAGCUGAUGCUCGCCAACCUUUUCUGAUUGUCACUACUACUGCUUCUCUCUCCUUAUGGGAGGUUCAGUUCAAUAAAUUAGCACCACAUAUCAAUGUUGUUGUGCAUGAUGGGCGGAAAGACAUGCUCAAGUCGAUUCAAGCUCAGCAGUUCUUCGAGAACGGAAACCACAUAACGUCACAAGUUCUCUUAUCCCAUCCUGAGGCUAUCUUAGAGGACAUUGAGCCUAUUGCACGUAUUGGUUGGGAGGCAAUCAUAGUUGAUUAUUAUCAACACUUUGCUCUAAAAUAUCUGGAACAGCUGAAGCAACUUUGUACUGGUUUUAGAGUGUUGCUUGUGAGCUCCCCAAUUGAAGAUAUCCCUGAGUACAGGAACAUGCUAGCUUUCCUUAGAUCGGGACAGAAAGAUAAUAGCGGCUAUGUUGACACUGCUGAUGCCCUUGAGAAGUCAAAAAUAAUAUUUGCACAUCAUAUUGCAUAUGAGCGCAAAGCAGAUUCUUCAAAAUUUCUAGAGCACUGGGUUCCUGCUUACAUUUCACAAGUGCAGCUAGGUGUCUAUUGUUCCAUUCUGCUUUCAAAUUCAUCUGUCCUCCAGUCUAAGAAGAAAGCUAAUAGUGUUGAAGCUCUUCGGGACAUUCUCUUGUCUCUCUCAAAGUGCUGUAAUCACCCUUACCUCCGUGAAUGUCUGGAAGAUUCACCUGUCAACAAUCCUGAUAUGACCGAAACAGUAGAUAUUGGAGUGCACGCAAGCGACAAGCUACUACUUCUUGACAAAAUGCUUAAAGAGACCAGCAACAGGAGGUUGAGAGUAAUUGUUCUUUUUCAGUCUGGUGGAGCAGGUGCAAAUCCAAUGGGUGACAUUCUGGAAGGUGUUGUGUGUCACAGAUUUGGCCCUGAGUCUUAUGAACAUGUCAAAUGUGGUGCGGUGAUGUCAAGUAAACAGGCGGCAAUUGAUAUGUUCAAUGACAAGACCAAGGGGAGAUUUGUUUUGCUGAUUGAAAGUCGUGCAUGCCUCCCAAGCAUUAAGCUACUAUCAGUUGAUGCAGUCAUCAUAUAUAGCAGCGACUGGAACCCAUCUAAUGACCUGAAAGCUCUUCAAAGAAUCAACAUAGAGUCACAACUUAAGUAUGUGAGCAUUUUCCGAUUGUAUACUCCUUUCACAGUGGAGGAGAACAACUUUGUGCUUGCAAAGCAGGGCAGGCUUAUUGAUAGCAACAUCCAGGAUGUAAUGCACAGUUCAAGCCAUUCCUUGCUCAGUUGGGGUGCACAAUUUCUCUUCACCAGAUUUGGUGAGCUUCUGCAAGAUAGGUAUUCAAGUAAGCAUUCUGAAAGGGGCACCAGUUUUAUGGAUGAAGUGAUUUUAGAGUUCGUAACAAAAUUACCCACAUAUACAGAAGACAGCUCCAAAAUAAACAGUGUGUACAUAUCGAAAGCUAAUAUGAGUGGGGAGUUUUAUUCAAGAAGCAUUACUGUAAUUGGUGAAAAGGAGGGAAUGUCUAUGCUGGAUGGGGAUCCAUCUGUAUUUUGGUUAAAUUUACUGGAUGGAAAAUCUCCUUGUUGGAGCUAUAUAUCUGAGCUAAGACAAUCAAUCAAUAGAAUGCUACAGAACAUAGAAGAACCAGCCCAAGUUGCUGCCGAAGAAACUGAUGAAGCUACCAAUGUGUCAGUCACACAGCAAAGAGAAUGUCAUGUGUCUGUCACACAGCAAAGAGAAUGCCAUGUGUCAGUUGAUGUAUUUCCCAACAUGGCUGUGGAGAGAAGAAUUGAUUUAGUGGAUGAUGUUUUCUCUUUUAGAGAAAAUAAUAUCCUUCAUAAACAACAAGCUGAGAUAUCAAAUUUAGUGACACACUCACAGAAUAAACAAAUCCUGAGAAUUGGAGCAACUCAGAUAUGUGGAUCGAGCAUGCAUAUGCAACAAUUGAGAAAUCUGCCUGCCCAACAAAGUUUAGCAACCUUGCCCCAUCCACCUGCAGAAGCAGAGCCAGCAGGUAUUCCUGGCAUGGAGGCCACGACAUGUUUACAGUCAAUGCAGUAUCAACCUACAGAGGCAGAAUGGGGAGGUAUACUGGGCGCAUUAGCAGCCCACGGUUCGCAGCCUGAAAUGCAACCAUCAACCUCAAUGCAGGAUGUUUUAUUUGAAAAGACUGAUCUGUCUGGCAUGCCUUUGCUAGGAAGUAUGAAUGCUCGUCAAAGUGUAGAACCUUCAUGGGAUCUGCACGCAGGAGAAGAACCAGCAGGCACUUUGGGCAUGGUGACAACUGAUAAGCUGCAGUCUGAAAUACAACAAUCAGCCACAGUACAUGAUCGGCCUGCAGAAGCAGAAGGAACAAGUACAUUGGGCACCAGGGCACUUCAGAAUUUGCACCCUGAAAUGCAAUCAUCAACCGCAAUGCAUCAUGUCCCUCUUGAAAUAGCACACUCUGAAGGCAGGAGCCAAACAGGAUUUCAGCCAAAUACAUCACCUGGUCCUGAGCAGCUCAGCCAACUCCUUUUUUUCGAGGAAGAGCUCAACCAAGUCCUAUCUGCUAGUGACCAGCCACAGGAAGAUAUGUCGAAAAUGUACAAACAUCACAUCAAUUUGCUUAGAAAAGCCCAUGAACAGAAGAAAUCACAACUUCAAAUAGAGCGUUACCGAGAAAUAGAAAAGGUGAACAGAAAGUAUUACUCAUUACUCCAAAAAGAAGAUCCCACUUUACCUCACAGCCAGAUGGGACUUGUUGAUAGCUACAAGGAAGCUUCUGUAAACAAAUCACCAGCUCAAGAUUUUCUAGGGGAAGUUGCACCAUCAUCUGCAGCUCAAGGGAGAUCUGAGAGGCCUGCAAUGGUGCUGCCACCUAAGUCUUCACCAGCUCAAACCACAGCAUCACCAGGUGCCCCGCCAUACGACCACCAGUGAUAGCUUUGUUUCAUUCACCAGGAGGACCUUAUGUCCAGCCACAAUCUAUCAUACCUGGUGAUCUUUGCGGAGCAACAUCACCAGUUUAUAUUCCAGCAUCUCCGCUACAGGGUGUAGGAGCACAUUCACCUCCUGCCGCUUCUCACCUCCGGCAGCACAUGGCCAAGUGGUGACAUGGAGAACUUUGCAUCGACAAGUCUAGGCAGGUUCCAGUUGAUCUCCAUGAAAAAAAUGUUCGCGUUUUUGUAAGCAUGCUGAUGGAUGUCGAGGAACCUAUCAUAGUGUUUUUUCCAUUUCCUUUUAUUUUCUUCUUAUAGAAAAAGAGCUUUAAAACUGCUUUACACAGUUAAAGUUGCAUAGUCCCUCAAAAAAGAAAGUUGAAGUUACAUAUGAUUACUCCAAAGUUGAAGUUACAUAUGAUUACUCCAAAGUUGAAGUUCUCAACAUGAUAAUUAUGGAAUUGAAUGCUGAUAAACAAUGUAAGUAAAUGAAGAGUACAUAUAUGGAAUUUGAUGGGCUUAAGAGUCUUUUCAUAUUAGAGCUAUAGUGUCUGUAGCAUAAAGCUUUGUAGGCAUUUAUGGUUUUCAUCUUACUGCGUAACUGUUAUACUACUACAAGCCAACGGGUAGAAGAAGUUGCCCUACAUGUUGAGUUCAUGUGUAGUAAAAACUAUCCAUAUUUAAAGAGCUUGCUUUGCUGGCCAUGUUGCUUUAUUUGUUUGGUUGAACUCAAGUCAUCUCUUGAGAUAAAGUGGUACAUACACAGAAUGUUGAGUUAAUUGUUGCAUUAUAGUUCCACGUGCCACAUGUGAUUAGCACCCCCCCCCCCCCCCCCCC